rnacentral:rRNA from 1 species
GACGAACGCUGGCGGCGUGCUUAACACAUGCAAGUCGAACGGAAAGGCCCUGCUUUUGUGGGGUGCUCGAGUGGCGAACGGGUGAGUAACACGUGAGUAACCUGCCCUUGACUUUGGGAUAACUUCAGGAAACUGGGGCUAAUACCGGAUAGGAGCUCCUGCUGCAUGGUGGGGGUUGGAAAGUUUCGGCGGUUGGGGAUGGACUCGCGGCUUAUCAGCUUGUUGGUGGGGUAGUGGCUUACCAAGGCUUUGACGGGUAGCCGGCCUGAGAGGGUGACCGGCCACGUGGGGCGGGAGAUAGGCGCAAGAAUGAGAGGGGGGGGAGAGGGGGGGAACAGUGAACAGGGGGGGUAGGCCUGCGGAGCCAGCGCGGGGGGGGGGAGGGGGGCCUGCGGUGGUUAAGCCGCUGCGGCUGGGGGAGGGGGGGAAGUGGAGAGAAGGGGUAAAGACGCACCGGGGAACGAUGUGCGAGAAGCGGGGGUAUAACGAAAGCACCACGUUUGAAC